AGAUGAAGCACAUGGUGGUUUCCUCCCAGACCCACCGUUUCAUCUGUUCCCCUCUGGAGGUUUAGACCUUCACACCUUAUGGGCCGCGAUUUUUUCGUCGGCCCUUUUUU
rnacentral:sRNA from 1 species